rnacentral:lncRNA from 1 species
GAUGCGAUCUCGACAUGCUUGCGCACGAAUCCGAGCGCAUUCCGCGACUCGGUGGUCAUCCGGAGGGACGAAUCCAGCCGAGCCGACAUGAACCGGAGGCUUGAGAAUGCGGCGGAGCCUGCGAGCUCUCGCGGUGGUGUGCACGGCUCCGACGAGGAGGAAGAAGGGAAUACGGUCAUGUUCCCCUGUGGCGGCGUCCAUGGCCACUUACGGUGCGGAACAAUCAUAAAAACUUUUGCAAACGACACUCUCGAAAUGGAAGAAAGAUAGGGUAAUAUAUACAGAGAGGAUAUAUGUUUGGAGAUGC